rnacentral:rRNA from 1 species
CGUGUAGGCGGUUUCUUAAGUCUGAUGUGAAAGCCCUGGGCUCAACCCAGGAAGUGCAUUGGAUACUGGGAGACUUGAAUACGGGAGAGGGUAGUGGAAUUCCUAGUGUAGGAGUGAAAUCCGUAGAUAUUAGGAGGAACACCGGUGGCGAAGGCGGCUACCUGGACCGAUAUUGACGCUGAGACGCGAAAGCGUGGGGAGCAAACAGGAUUAGAUACCCUGGUAGUCCACGCCGUAAACGAUGAGAACUAGGUGUUGCGGGUAUUGACCCCUGCAGUGCCGCAGCUAACGCAUUAAGUUCUCCGCCUGGGAAGUACGGUCGCAAGACUAAA